AGCAUUUUAAAAUAUAAUAGGUAUAUUGAAAAGUCUGAUUCAGUUACAAUCAGUGUAUGGAAUCACAAGAAGAUCCAUAAGAAACAAGGUGCUGGAUUUCUCCGUUGUGUUCGUCUUUUUCCAGUGCCAUCAACCACCUCAAAGACACUGGUUAGGUUGGAUUUAUGCAAACUUGGGCCAAAGGACAGUUAGAAGACAGUAGCUGAAGAAGCAUCUGUAGGGAAUCCAGAAGGAGCAUUCAUGAAGAUGUUACAAGCCCGGAAGCAGCACAUGAGCACUGAGCUGACUAUUGAGUCGGAGGCGCCCUCAGACAGCAGUGGCAUCAACUUGUCAGGCUUUGGGAGUGAUCAGCUUGAAAUUCAGCUAACCGAGCAGCUACGGUCCCUCAUCCCCAACGAGGAUGUGAGAAAGUUCAUGUCUCAUGUUAUCUGGACCUUGAAAAUGGAAUGUUCAGAAACACAUGUGCAAGGGAGCUGUGCCAAGCUCAUGUCGCGAACAGGCCUCCUGAUGAAGCUUCUCAGCGAGCAGCAGGAAGCAAAGGCAUUGAAUGUAGAAUGGGAUACGGACCAACAAAAAACAAAUUAUAUUAAUGAGAACAUGGAACAGAAUGAACAGAAAGAGCAGAAGUCAAGUGAGCUCAUGAAAGAAGUUCCAGGAUAUGACUAUAAGAACAAACUCAUCUUCGCAAUAUCUGUGACUGUCAUACUAAUAAUUUUGAUUAUAAUUUUUUGUUUUAUAGAGGUAAAGACAAUAAUUAAUUCAGGUUUUCAAAAUACAAUCCUGUGUUUGUGUGGAUUCAGAAUCC
ensembl:lncRNA novel transcript